UACGUAGGGGGCGAGCGUUGUCCGAAGUUACUGGGCGUAAAGCGCGCGUAGGCGGUCCUUUAAGUCUGAGGUGAAAGGUUCAGCGCUCAACGUGAACAGUGCCUUGGAGACUGGGGGACUUGAGUGUGGGAGAGGGCAGUGGAAUUCCUGGUGUAGCGGUGAAAUGCGUAGAUAUCGAGAGGAACACCUGCGGCGAAGGCGGGUUGCUGGGCUGACACUGACGCUGAUGCGCGAAAGCCAGGGGAGCGAACGGG
rnacentral:rRNA from 1 species